GAGGAUAUAGCUCAGUGGUAGAGCACAUGCUUAGUGUGCAAGAGAUCCUGGGUUCAAUCCUCAGCACCUCCA
rnacentral:tRNA from 1 species